AGUCGUUAAAGCUCACACACAAAUUCCUGGCUGUUGGCUGAGGCUGGCUUUCAGCAAAGAUAAUCACAUGAAAGAGAUUCGUGGGAUGUGUACUUACUGGCACCCGUGCAUUCACCCACUGAUCAACGCUCUUAUUCCCUGCUCGGCACCGAUAGAAUAUGCGUUGAUGAAACGCUGCCUUAAAUUCUUUAUCAAUGCUGCCUGGUCUGCAGAGUUCCUCCAGCAAUUUGUGUGUGUUGCCCGGAUGUCCAGCAUCUGCAGAUUUUCUCUUGUUUGUGGUUUGAACACUCCUGAAAGUUUUUUCAGUUAUGUAAAGAACGUGAAGGAGGCAGCCAUGAAACAAAGAACCACAAUGGAACCCACUAAAAACAAAAGAAGACCGUCAAACACCUAGUGUGUAGAGAGAGAGGGAAAAAGCAGAUUGUGGAAACAAUAAAAGCAAGCAGCAUUCAGAACUGGAGAUCAGAAUGCCAGGCAUCACUGCAGCCAAUCCGGAAGUCCACUAGAUGCAGGGGUGCGGCUGAUAGAACUGCUGCCUCACAGAUCCAGCGACGCAGCUUCAGUCCUGACCUCUGGUCUUUGUGGAGUUUGCAUGCUCGCAUAAUGACUGCCUGGAUUUUCUCUUGAGCUCCAGUAUGCUUCCCAACACCCAAAGGGAGGCAGGAUAAAUGCCGAUGUAAACUGCACCUCGUGUAGAUGAAUGUUGAAUAUGUGGAUGGGAAUAAGGAAUCAUAAAGUGAGAUUAAUGUGAAUGAGAGUUGGCAUGGACUGUGGGCCAAUGGGCCGGUUUCCCAAUUGUUUCACUCUUUGGCUUAUCGCCCAUUUUUUUUUAAUAGGGAGAAAUAUCUGAACCUAGAAGAAAAAUAUUUAAUAAUUUAAACACUGCUAUAUUUUAAUAUUGCAUCAUACUGUAUAACCACAGAAAGGCACCUGUAACAGUGUUAAGCCUUGAACUUUGCUUGACAACCUUACGUUGAUUAAACAUCUCUGGAGAACUCUGACCUCAGCAAGCUUCCCAUCAUUACGGUUAUUACCAAACUGUGGCUGAGCUAAGGCCCAUUAAACAGACAGCAGGGGUCUCCUGGAUGUUCAAGGGACCUGUUGCCAAGAGGGGGGAUUCAUCCUACCUGCAAAGCAGAACACUUACAAACAAGCAGACUGAACUUCAAUCUAUAAUAAAGGUGACGUAUGGAAACUGACCUUCACCCUACCUGU